rnacentral:rRNA from 1 species
UACGAAGGGGGCUAGCGUUGCUCGGAAUGACUGGGCGUAAAGGGCGUGUAGGCGGUUUUGACCGUCAGAUGUGAAAACCCCGGGCUUAACCUGGGAGCUGCAUUUGAGACGUUAAGACUAGAGUGUGAGAGAGGGUUGUGGAAUUCCCAGUGUAGAGGUGAAAUUCGUAGAUAUUGGGAAGAACACCGGUAGCGAAGGCGGCAACCUGGCUCAUUACUGACGCUGAAGCGCGAAAGCGUGGGGAGCAAACAGG